rnacentral:lncRNA from 1 species
ACGCAACUUGAUCUCGGUCGUCUGGACGAACCCUACCGACUCUCAUGGGUACGACAUUUAGACGGUAGGGUUCGUCCAGACGACCAUAGGCACGGUAGCGCUCGUGGUGGCAGAGGGCUACAACACACUGUCCUACAACAUACUGUCAAUAUAAACAAAGCAGUUCAAAAGUGUCAAUUCAGGUUUAUUGCAGGUUUAGUGCCGUUUCUCACAGUCACAGUAUGUCAGGAACCUAAACGUUCAGGUAACUUCUUGACCGUAAUUUUGGCAGAGGCAGAGGCCGAGUUACCCAGUCCACAGACUAAGAGGGUAAAGACUACGAUCGGGGAUAGGGCUAAGAGGAAUGCUUGAAGCGAUGCUCGUCCUAUGCCGUAUGGUGGCGCGUCGAGCACACUCUACCAAAGCCAUUAUUUUUCCUUUUUCCCUACUGAUAUGAGUCUUCACACACCGUAAAUUUGUAAGUGAACCAUUAACAUUUCAAUAGUGAAUUUUUGUGUAAAUAUAGCUUAGAUAUCCACCAUGUUGUGUGAAUUUUUUUAAAUUUCUAUGUGAUCUCUAGACACAAUCUAUAAAUUCCUUUAUUAAACCCCCUUUUUGCCCAUUUUCAAGCCCAGGAAACAGCGUUUCAAGAUUUUCUGAAAUGGGCCUGAAAAUCGUGAAACGCUGUUUCCUGGCCCUGAAAAUGGGCAAAAAGGGGGUUUAAUAAAGGAAUUUAUAGAUUGUGUCUAGAGAUCACAUAGAAAUUUGAAAAAAUUCACACAACAUGGGGGAUAUCUAAGCUAUAUUUACACAAAAAUUCACUAUUGAAAUGUUAAUGGUUCACUUACAAAUUUACGGUGUGUGAAGACUCAUAUCAGUAGGGAAAAAGGAAAAAUAAUGGCUUUGGUAGAGUGUGCUCGACGCGCCACCAUACGGCAUAGGACGCGCAUCGCUUCAAGGGGUUUAUAGCCGUUCGUAGUCUUUACCCUCUUAGUCUGUGCCCAGUCUGAUGAAGUUGUAGCAGUUUCUAAUCAAGAAACUGCUAGUGAAAUAACUCCCAGUCUAAUGAAAGAAGUGGUGUACAGGAUAUCAUUCAUUCAGUCGAACUGGAAAAGACAUCAUUGAAGCAAGCAUUUCACAAUUUAACAAGUAGAAAAAGGAAGCAAUCAAGAAAGCGAGUGGAAAACUCGCAUGAAAGACAAAGAAGAUGCUUGGGAUUCCAAGAGAGAUGCUGUCUUUCAAAACUACAUUAGCUCCCGUUCCUACAGUGCAAGUAAAUGUGGUGUAUGUGAAAAAGUCACUAAUCCUGUACAUCACUGUUGAAGUGUCCCUUCCUGUCCAGAAUGCAAAAGCCCUCAUUCGUGUACUACGAAACCUGGUUCAAGAGACGUAACCGUAGUUACAGCCAAUGGUAAAUGAAGGCAACUUCACGGAGGACAACCGAUUACCAGGAUUACAUCGACGAAGACACAGCCAAUUAUCAAGACUACGCUGAUGAAGAAAAUGAAGACAACAAUUAUUAUCCAUCGUUUAAAACGCUCACAUAUAUUUAUGCAAAUCUUGUAAUUACAUUUGAAAUAGAGCUAUUGUUUGAAGGGAAUAAAAGUAUUCUUACGAG